GUAAAUGGCUGCAUAAACCCGAGUGUACGAAGGUAGCGCUAUAAUUUGCCCUUUAAGUGGGGGCUGGUAUGAAGGGGUUAACGGGAGAGUUGCUGUGUCAUGAAAAAUUAUUGAAAUUAACUUCUAGGUGAAGAGGCCUAGUUAAACCUAAAGGACGACAAGACCCUAGAAGCUUAACUAUAGGUGGAGUAUAAAGUAAGCUACUUUAGUUUUGUUGGGGCAACAAGGUUGAAAGGUGCAACUUAAGUAGUGUUUACUAACAAGUUAAAUCCACUAAAGUGAAUAAGAUAAGUUACUCCAGGGAUAACAGCGUUAUUUUUUUUAAUAGUACUUAUUGUAAAAAAAGUUUGCGACCUCGAUGUUGGAUUAAGGUGUCCUUGAGGUGUAGAAGUUUCAGAGGGUUGGCCUGUUCGUCCAUUAAAACCUUACA
rnacentral:rRNA from 1 species